UACGAAGGGGGCUAGCGUUGUUCGGAAUCACUGGGCGUAAAGCGCACGCAGGCGGAUCGAUAAGUCGGGGGUGAAAGCCCGGGGCUCAACCUCGGAAUUGCCUUCGAUACUGUCGGUCUCGAGUCCGGGAGAGGUGAGUGGAAUUCCUAGUGUAGAGGUGAAAUUCGUAGAUAUUAGGAAGGACACCAGUGGCGAAGGCGGCUCGCUGGCCCUGUACUGACGCGCAGGUGCGAAAGCGUGGGGAGCAAACAGG
rnacentral:rRNA from 1 species